rnacentral:rRNA from 1 species
UACGUAGGGUGCGAGCGUUGUCCGGAAUUAUUGGGCGUAAAGGGCUCGUAGGCGGUUUGUCGCGUCGGGAGUGAAAACCUCGGGCUUAACUCGGGGCUUGCUUUCGAUACGGGCAGACUAGAGGUAUGCAGGGAAGAACGGAAUUCCUGGUGUAGCGGUGAAAUGCGCAGAUAUCAGGAGGAACACCGGUGGCGAAGGCGGUUCUCUGGGCAUGAUCUGACGCUGAGGAGCGAAAGUGUGGGGAGCGAACAGG